GCCAGACUCCUACGGGAGGCAGCAGUGAGGAAUAUUGGUCAAUGGGCUUACGCCUGAACCAGCCAAGUCGCGUGAGGGAAGACUGCCCUAUGGGUUGUAAACCUCUUUUGUCAGGGAGCAACGCCGGCUACGUGUAGCCGGACUGAGAGUACCUGAAGAAAAAGCAUCGGCUAACUCCGUGCCAGCAGCCGCGGUAAUACGGAGGAUGCGAGCGUUAUCCGGAUUUAUUGGGUUUAAAGGGUGCGUAGGCGGAAUGCCAAGUUAGCGGUAAAAUCGCGGGGCUCAACCUCGCUCCGCCGUUGAAACUGGCGUUCUUGAGUGGGCGAGAAGUAUGCGGAAUGCGUGGUGUAGCGGUGAAAUGCGUAGAUAUUCGGAGGAACACCGGUGGCGAAGGCGGCCAACUGGGCUUUAACUGACGCUGAGGCUCGAAAGUGUGGGGAGCAAACAGGAUUAGAUACCCUGGUAA
rnacentral:rRNA from 1 species